GACGAACCGAGCGAACGUUGUUCGGGCUCACUGGGCUUAAAGGGCGCGUGGGCGGGCUGUCAAGUUUGGGGUGAAAUCCCGUGGCUCAACCGUGGAACUGCCUCGAAUACUGACGGUCUCGAGGGAGGUAGGGGCGAGCGGAACUGUGAGUGGAGCGGUGAAAUGCGUUGAUAUUCACAGGAACUCCGGUGGCGAAGGCGCCUCGCUGGACCUCUUCUGACGCUGAGGCGCGAAAGCUAGUGGAGCAAACGGG
rnacentral:rRNA from 1 species